rnacentral:rRNA from 1 species
CAGCCGCCGCGGGAAAACGAAGGGUGCAAGCGUUAAUCGGAAUUACUGGGCGUAAAGCGUGCGCAGGCGGUUGUGUAAGACAGGUGUGAAAUCCCCGGGCUUAACCUGGGAACUGCGCUUGUGACUGCACAGCUAGAGUAUGGCAGAGGGGGGUGGAAUUCCACGUGUAGCAGUGAAAUGCGUAGAGAUGUGGAGGAACACCGAUGGCGAAGGCAGCCCCCUGGGCCAAUACUGACGCUCAUGCACGAAAGCGUGGGGAGCAAACAGGAUUAGAUACCCCGGUAGUCCCUGUCUCUUAUAA